GCCACUUUAAGCUUCUGGAGGGAAGAGAGAUGCAUAGUGAUAAACCGUUAUUUUAUUUUAACUCAGAAGCACCUCUAGCUUACCUAACUCAUUUAUUCACCUUUACUACACGCAGUUUGUCAAGAUCAUUUUAAAUGCAAAUCCUGUUUCAAAUUCCUUACCUCCCUCCUGACCUGUGUGUCAUCUGCAAAGGUAAUCAGUGGACUGUCUUCAGUCAUGCAACUCAUUAAAGACAAAAUUAAGUUGCAUCAAGCUCAGAACAGACAUGUCCAGGGCUCCAUUUGAUACCUUCUUCCGGUCUGACAUGGUGUAGUAACUGAAUGACCCAAUGGCAAAAAACGAGGCUUGGAAGGACCACUAAGAUCUCUUCUGAACCGGUAUAACGCCCAUUUGCCCAUUGUAACUGCCUGCAGGAUGACCACCAGCUGUUACUGCAUCAAAACAGACACACAGAGGGAAGCAACAGAGUUGCCAUGGGAACUGCAGUGAAG